rnacentral:rRNA from 1 species
AACGAACGCUGGCGGCAGGCUUAACACAUGCAAGUCGAGCGCCCCGCAAGGGGAGCGGCAGACGGGUGAGUAACGCGUGGGAAUCUACCCAUCUCUACGGAAUAACGCAUGGAAACGUGUGCUAAUACCGUAUACGUCCUUCGGGAGAAAGAUUUAUCGGAGAUGGAUGAGCCCGCGUUGGAUUAGCUAGUUGGUGGGGUAAAGGCCUACCAAGGCGACGAUCUAUAGCUGGUCUGAGAGGAUGAUCAGCCACACUGGGAGUGAGACACGGCCCAGACUCCUACGGGAGGCAGCAGUGGGGAAUAUUGGACAAUGGGCGCAAGCCUGAUCCAGCCAUGCCGCGUGAGUGAUGAAGGCCCUAGGGUUGUAAAGCUCUUUCACCGGUGAAGAUAAUGACGGUAACCGGAGAAGAAGCCCCGGCUAACUUCGUGCCAGCCGCCGCAGUAAUAC